UGGGGAAUAUUGGACAAUGGGCGAAAGCCUGAUCCAGCCAUGCCGCGUGGGUGAAGAAGGCCUUAGGGUUGUAAACCCCUUUCAGCGGGGAAGAUAAUGACGGUACCCGCAGAAGAAGUCCCGGCUAACUCCGUGCCAGCAGCCGCGGUAAUACGGAGGGGACUAGCGUUGUUCGGAAUUACUGGGCGUAAAGCGCACGUAGGCGGAUUUGUAAGUCAGGGGUGAAAUCCCGGGGCUCAACCUCGGAACUGCCUUUGAUACUGCAAAUCUCGAGUCCGGAAGAGGUGAGUGGAAUUCCUAGUGUAGAGGUGAAAUUCGUAGAUAUUAGGAAGAACACCAGUGGCGAAGGCGGCUCACUGGUCCGGUACUGACGCUGAGGUGCGAAAGCGUGGGGAGCAAACAGGAUUAGAUACCCCCGUAGUCC
rnacentral:rRNA from 1 species